GCAGCCGCGGUAAUACGGAAGGUCCGGGCGUUAUCCGGAUUUAUUGGGUUUAAAGGGAGCGCAGGCGGUCUUAUAAGCGUGACGUGAAAUGCAGCGGCUCAACCGUAUGAUGUGCGUCGCGAACUGUGAGACUUGAGUGUAUUCGAUGUCAGCGGAAUUUGUGGUGUAGCGGUGAAAUGCUUAGAUAUCACGAAGAACUCCGAUUGCGAAGGCAGCUGACAAGGCUACAACUGACGCUAAAGCUCGAAAGUGCGGGUAUCGAACAGGAUUAGAUACCCC
rnacentral:rRNA from 1 species